rfam:Clostridium hathewayi WAL-18680 genomic scaffold supercont1.1, whole genome shotgun sequence.
GGGGCUGUACUGGUUUCGACAGGGGCUAUGCAGCUGGUGAAGCUAUCCGCAUGCGGUGCGUGAAACGGCAAAAUUAAAAUUAAACGCUGAAGACAAUUUAGCAUACGCAGCCUAAUUGGCUGCCGUCAGCCUUAGAGCACUCACACUUUAAGAACCUGGCGUCGACGAUGUGAGAAACGACUUAUGCAAAGCUUUGAGCAUAUGGGCGUAUCAUGAAGCUACUGAACUCAUCAGAAUGUCAGUUUUCGGAUGACAGAGGGAAUGUAAAAUAACUGACUAUGAUAGUAGAAGAACAGGGAAUUGGUUUUUGGACACGGGUUCAAAUCCCGUCAGCUCCACUU